rnacentral:rRNA from 1 species
GACGAACGCUGGCGGCGUGCCUAAUACAUGCAAGUAGAACGCUGAAGGAGGAGCUUGCUUCUCUGGAUGAGUUGCGAACGGGUGAGUAACGCGUAGGUAACCUGCCUGGUAGCGGGGGAUAACUAUUGGAAACGAUAGCUAAUACCGCAUAAUAGUAGAUGUUGCAUGACAUUUGCUUAAAAGGUGCAAUUGCAUCACUACCAGAUGGACCUGCGUUGUAUUAGCUAGUUGGUGGGGUAACGGCUCACCAAGGCGACGAUACAUAGCCGACCUGAGAGGGUGAUCGGCCACACUGGGACUGAGACACGGCCCAGACUCCUACGGGAGGCAGCAGUAGGGAAUCUUCGGCAAUGGACGGAAGUCUGACCGAGCAACGCCGCGUGAGUGAAGAAGGUUUUCGGAUCGUAAAGCUCUGUUGUAAGAGAAGAACGAGUGUGAGAGUGGAAAGUUCACACUGUGACGGUAACUUACCAGAAAGGGACGGCUAACUACGUG